AUUUCUUGUGUCUUGUAAUAGUCCAUGUGAGCACUUAAUUUUUGACCAGCUUGAAUUUUCCCCACUCAUCUCCUUAUCACAUUAUAUAAACACACACCGAGAACACGAAAAUGGAAGAAGCUGAAAAAUCGCUUAAAAACGAGAGAAAAACGGAGGGACAAAAAAUAGAGUGAGAAUCCACUGCUUCUUCACCAAAGAACCAGUGAAAUCUCCCACAAAAUUUCAGCUUAAAACUAGCUAAAAACAGUCCUUAAAUAGAUCCCAAAUCAGUCCCACAACAGUCCCAUAUUUCCACUUGAGACCAGCCUCUAAGUCCACCUUGAACCCACUUGAAAACUCCAUUAAAAUCAAUGGCAAAAACAGUCCAAAUCUCUGCCAUUAAAAACGUCCAGGCCUAGUCGAGUACGUCCGAGGUUCGUCAAAUUCCGGCGAUCUUCGAAGUCGAGGUUCCAAAGUCACGGUCUUGGUCAUCUUUCAGUUUUGAGCAAACAAAGUCAGAUUUUCCUUGCUAAAAGGUUAUUUUGCACUCUACUAAUCUUCCUCGUUAAAACACUGCUGCGAUGUCUUGGUUAAGUGGCUUUGAGUUUGAAUAAAAUGUCACAUUUCUGAUAAGCAUGUUAUUAAUUUUAAUUUAAUCUUUUGUUUGCUCACACCAUGUUUAGUAUUUGUCUUUGGUAAAUGCUUAGUAGAUUGUAUUUGUUAGUAUGCGGAUGAACGUCUUUGUUUAUUGCUUGAACAAGAAAGAAUGUAGUUUGUUUAUUAGAAAUUAGAAUUCUGUCGUAAGAGCCGUGAAUUUUUCUAUUAAGAAUUAAAAACACUUUCGAUUGUUCCAUUUUGUUAAAUAUCCUAAAUUAAUCGGUUGAGUGUUUGGUUGAUGAAAGUUUAUUAAAGAUCCAUCCCUACCGUAUUCAAUUGUUUCAUUCAUGUCAUUCACUGUUCACUCCCUUAUGGCUUAGUCUUCUUAGAUAUUUGAUUAUUACUAUAGGAGUAUUAAUUUAGUCACAUAAUUUUUAACAAAAUUAGUUUUUUUAGGAAAAGAAUUCAUCGUACCUUGCUUUAGUCGCGAUUAAUAAUAAAUCAUCGUAACUAUGAGUACGGUUUCUGUGGCAUAGUCAUGAUACGUAAAUCCCAAUUCGAGUAUGUGUUCACGCGACUUGACCAAAACUUCAAAUAAUAAUAAUAAUAAUAAACAUAUUGUAAAUUCCGGGUGCAUUUUACGUGGCGCGGUUUGCAAUGUGUACCAAAACGACAAGUGUACGAUAUCGUAACUAAUUCAAAAAUAACUCUAUAAAUACUAAAAGCGGUUAAAUAAAUAAUUAAAAACGGUAAUGCAUGAAAGGUUUUAAACAUGUAAUGAUUCAGAUAAUUAAGCCAUGUGUAAUUGUAAAUCGAUCGUGCUAAAAUCACGGAAUCCGGGAGUGACUCACACCUUCUCCCGGGUUAACAGAAUUCCUUACCAUGUCUUCUGGUUUUCGCGGACUUUAAAACAAAGUCAAAUUUCCUUGAUUUAGGAUUUAAAAUAAACCAGUGACUUGGGACACCAUAAAUUAUUCCUAGUGGCGACUCUAAUUUAUAUAAAUAAUCUUAUUUCGAACAAUGUCACUUUAAUUGAAAACCCCCCCUAUUCCCUCGGGAAAAAUAAGGUGUGACAGCUCUGGCGAUUCUACUGGGAAAAGAACCCAGAACUUCUGGUUCAGGGUCCAGAAUUCGAGCUUAGAAUAACUAUUAUAUUUGGCUUUGGUUUAUUAUCUGAUUUUUACAUGUUUGAGCCUAAUGUGCUAAAUCCCGCUUUUUACCGCUUUGAUAUUGUAUGAAGUGUAUAUAAAAUUGUUACGGCACCCUUCUUCUCUCUAAGUCUUCUAAAUCUUCUGGGAGCAUGCGCUUCGCAUGACUUCUUUUCUGUUAGAGUCAUACCCCUAAUUUUAGAACGAGGAUCGGACAAGUUACAAAGACGGUAAAACUUUUGUAUUCCCCCCCCCCCUCCCUUUCCCGACUCGAGUUGUCCGCUCGGGUAAGCCAGGUAUAGAAUAACACAUCCCAGGAUUUAAACCUAGAAUAACAUAGCCGCAUGCCGAAUACCUAGUAGGAACGUUUGUUUGCAUCACGUGCAUUUGAUUUUGCUCCAAUAUAAAAGACCAUCUUGAUACAUUUUACGUGUUACUUGUGCAUUUUUUUUAUUUUGGCUUGCAGGUUGACAGACUUCUAGAAUAGGGAAAGAAAACCAAAAAAAACAGAAAAGAGAAAAUUGACCUGGUUCCUGAAAAUCCCAGUAUUUUUAAAAAAGAAAAAAAAGAUUCUGAAACUCUAACGAAUUUUUAGAAGGUGGUCACAAAUGACUCCAGAUUUUCAAAAAUGACAUUUUUCCCCAGUCCUGAAAAACUAACCGAACUACGCGGGUCUGAUUCUCACCGGAUGUGAGAUACGUAGGCAAACCUCAUCGGUUCCAACCCCGAUUUUCAAAAAAAAAAAAUUCAAAAAUAUUUUCCCUUCCCUUAAUUCCCUUCAAAAAUAGAAUUCUUUCCUUAGAAAAUCCAAAAAGAAAAAUUUAAAUCCAAAAAUAUUUUCUUUCUUUUCCAAAGUCUUUCAUUCGAAAAAAAAAAUUUCAAAUCAAAGUUCAAAGUAUUUUCUUCCUCUUUAGAAUUCUUUCUUUUAAAAAGAAAAAUUUCAAAUUCCAUAAAACAAAACUAAAAAAAUAUAUUUAAAAAUCUUUAUAAAAAAAAAGAAAAAGAAAAAUGGGAUCGGGUUCAUUCAACCCGCAAGAUCGGCGUCAUGAUACGUAGGCAAUCCUCAUCGGAUUCGAUCAUAACCAUUAAUAAACCGUGUGAAAAAAAAAUAGAAAAAGAAAAAGAAAGAAAGGAGUGACAAAAAAAUAACAAAGAGCAAAAAAAGAAAAAAAUCAAGAGCGAAAAAUAGAACUCUUUGUCCAAUUUGAAAAAGAAAAUCGUGGAAAACUUGUAUGGGUAUACUGUCAAAUGGUGCGAGCAAGCCGACAGGGAAAAACCUCCAAUGGACGAAGCAUAAAUGGUUAUGGUCUUUCUACAUGCGCAAGAGGCGGACUACUUCCGGAACAUGAUGGUAACCCGUUUGCCGAAGCUAUCAAAAUUGGGGAGAUGAUCGAAAAUGAUUUAAAAACAGGUCGAAUCUUGAGUCAUGCUGCCUUUAAGGCCACAUGGCAGACCGUUCAAAUUGGUUCGGGGGUGUUUGAUGAAUAUAACUAGGGAGGAAGAGGGAACCAUGAUGGCUUUGAGCUCGAGGGGGCCCGCAAGUUAUUCAACCAAUCAUAUAUGCUUCCUAAAGUCCCACAACACUAUUAUCCCCAUCAAUAUGAUGCUUAUUCCAUGACACUGCCUCCCUAUACAGUGAUGAGUGCGCAACCUUACACGCGGCUAGAGCAUUAUACACAAAACCGAGCUUCACAUCCCAAAAAUUCCCGACCCUACCAAGCUCCAUAUAAUCCCCAACCAAAUGUUCCCCAAUAUAAUCCUCGCCCAAGAGAUCCCCUCAGAAGGCAUCAGUUCAUCCCAAUUGAUGAAUCAUAUUCAAGUUCGUUUCAAAAGGUAAUCGGACUAGGUCUGCUGCAGCCAGUGGCCCCGAAGCGGCCAAACCCCGAGUCCCCCUUGCACCAAGCUGAUGCUGGAUGUGAAUACCACUCUAGAGCAGUGAGUGUUACACCAUGUGCGUCCCAAGGUGGCGUAAUGAAUAUGAAACUUAUUAAUUAUUAUUUAAAUGAUUUUAAAGUCAUAAUAUGGCUAUAUAUGAUAUUUGGAUAGAAAAUAUGAAGUUUGGGAAAUAUCGAAUUAAAGUUGCGGAAAAAGCGACUAAAGAUUUGGCUUGUAACAGAGCUUUUUGAGAAAUAAAAUUUAUGUGCUAUAUGUAUUCUUUUUGGGACAUAUUAUAUACCAAAUUGAAGGUCUUGGAAUUUAGUUUCCAAUGCUCUUAACCGUUCGUUCAUACGACACCCAAAUAAAAAGUUAUAAGCGUUGGAAGAAGGACCAAUGCUAGGGUGCCAAGUAGCACCUUUUGACUUUUCAAACAAAAUGGAUAUUUAUAUCUUUAUCUCGUUUCAUUCUUCAAUUUUCCAGAACACACAACCAAAUAAGACCCCUAACUUUACUCUUAAGCUAAGAUUAUCAUUCCGGGCACGAAAUCAAGAAACGAUAAUAUUUAAACGAUCCCUAUGGCGUAAGUAUCGCUAUAUCGCCUCUAUUUUUCUUUGUAGUUUGAGUUUUGGAAGGUACUUCAUAGUUAAUAAAACAUGUACUUUCUGUAUUUAAGUGUUUAAAUAUCAAGAAAGGUUGAUAAAUUCGUUUUCUAAUAGGUAGAACUCACGGGACAGUGAUCGGAAGCCGUGAGUUCGAGUUAUUCACUUGUAGCGGACUGUUUUGUGGAUUAUUUUUUGUUGUGGUUGGGCUGCGUGUUUUACUUCUAUUUUUUGGAGUUUUGGAGGAGUAAGUCUGUGUAGAAACACCACAUAAAUUCAGGGUAGUGCGCUAGUUGUUCGUCGUAAUAAUUUUGGGCUGUUUGACACUACUACGGUGGUCGUUUUGUGUAUGAAGAGAUUGGGAUGUGUUGGGCUAUUUGUAAUAUUUUGUGGUGUAUAUAAGGCUGUAAAAUAAUGUAUAAAUGUUGAUAUUGUUAUGUUUGGUGUUAUCUUAAAGUUGAAGAAAGUAAGGAUUAUAGGGGAGAUGCUUCCCGUUUUAAUACAAAAUAAGCUUGUCGUUCGUUGUGCGAUAGUUGUACUUUUCGUAACUUAAUGAUAGUAUUAUUAUUAUUGUUGUUGUAGAUUAAGGUACGAAGAGGAGAGUUCAACUUGGUGAUUGGAAAGAUUGUGAUAAGGUAUGUUAAGGCUAUCACUUCUUUCCUUUUUGGCAUGAUCCAUAUGAUGCAAGAAAUGAGCAAGUAUACAACUUUCACAAAUAAUUCUAUUCCUAGAAGUACUAGGUUUGCCUAUAUUCUUGAUUCCCCAUAUGUCCUACUAUCAUAUCGUUUGUUCACGAAUCUUAUGAUAUUCCGAGUGAUCUUAUUGACUUACUUCAUUAUGUAUUGCAUCCAUUUAUACAUGUACAUUAACCCAUGAUCAGAUGACGUUAUAUACACGUAUAUUAUAUGUAUAUGAGGUAUGAGAAAAGGUUAUGGUGUUAUAUACGCACCACCACCUGAUCAGCUGAUAUACGUUGAUGAUUUUGCCCACAGCGACUGAGAUGAUAUGAUGGGAUACCCCCAGAGGCUUGAUGAUAUUAUGUACGCAUAUACCUAUGCAUGAUAUGACAUUUAUAUGCACAUACAUGACAUUAUAAAUUUUUCAUGAUUCACAGAGCUAUUCAGACUUGCAGGUUGAGUUCCUUACUCCAUAUUUCUUUCAUGCCUUACAUACUCGGUACUUUAUUUGUACCGACGUCCAUUUUUCCUGGGGACGCUGUGUUUGAUGCCCGCAGAUCCCGAUAGACAGGUUGAGAGUUCUCCUAGUAGGCUAUCUGCUCAGCAGAAGGUGUUUGUGCACUCCACUUGUUCCGGAGUUUCCUAUUUGGUUAGUAUAAUUUGAAUAUGUAUUGAUUGGUAUGGCGGGGCCUUGUCCCGACCUUUAUGAUGUUUAUGUAGUAUUAGAGACUCUUAGACAAAUGUCACGUAUAUGGAUACGUGUAUGGCCUUAUCAGCCUAUGUUUUGAGUAUACAAAUGAUCAUGUCGGCCUUAUAGGCCCGUAUGUCACAUGCAUGAGUUUUUAUAUCAUGUUGGGUCGUCCUAUGUCUAGUAUUCCCUUAUGUUUUAUUCUCGUUAUCUCAUGACGGACCUUCUGGGCCACUUACCCAUGACGGUAUGAUAAGAAAGAUAUGUUACAUUAGUACUCGGUUGUGUAAGGCACCGGGUGCCCGUCGCGGCCCUACAGUUUGGAUCGUGACAAAAGUGGUAUCAGAGAAGUUCUAUCCUAGGGAGUCUACAAGCCGUGUCUAGUAGAGUCUUGUUUAUGGGUGUGUACUACACCAUACUUAUAAGCAGGAGGUUACAUGGAAUUUAGGAUUG
rnacentral:lncRNA from 1 species